rnacentral:rRNA from 1 species
UUCGCCCUUAGAGUUUGAUCCUGGCUCAGGACGAACGCUGGCGGCACGCUUAACACAUGCAAGUCGAACGAGAGAAGAGAAGCUUGCUUUUCUGAUCUAGUGGCGGACGGGUGAGUAACACGUGAGCAAUCUGCCUUUCAGAGGGGGAUACCGAUUGGAAACGAUCGUUAAUACCGCAUAAUAUAAUUGAACCGCAUGAUUUGAUUAUCAAAGAUUUAUCGCUGAAAGAUGAGCUCGCGUCUGAUUAGCUAGUUGGUAAGGUAACGGCUUACCAAGGCGACGAUCAGUAGCCGGACUGAGAGGUUGAUCGGCCACAUUGGGACUGAGACACGGCCCAGACUCCUACGGGAGGCAGCAGUGGGGAAUAUUGCACAAUGGGGGAAACCCUGAUGCAGCGACGCCGCGUGGAGGAAGAAGGUCUUCGGAUUGUAAACUCCUGUUGUUGAGGAAGAUAAUGACGGUACUCAACAAGGAAGUGACGGCUAACUACGUGCCAGCAGCCGCGGUAAAACGUAGGUCACAAGCGUUGUCCGGAAUUACUGGGUGUAAAGGGAGCGCAGGCGGGAAGGCAAGUUGGAAGUGAAAUCCAUGGGCUCAACCCAUGAACUGCUUUCAAAACUGUUUUUCUUGAGUAGUGCAGAGGUAGGCGGAAUUCCCGGUGUAGCGGUGGAAUGCGUAGAUAUCGGGAGGAACACCAGUGGCGAAGGCGGCCUACUGGGCACCAACUGACGCUGAGGCUCGAAAGUGUGGGUAGCAAACAGGAUUAGAUACCCUGGUAGUCCACACCGUAAACGAUGAUUACUAGGUGUUGGAGGAUUGACCCCUUCAGUGCCGCAGUUAACACAAUAAGUAAUCCACCUGGGGAGUACGACCGCAAGGUUGAAACUCAAAGGAAUUGACGGGGGCCCGCACAAGCAGUGGAGUAUGUGGUUUAAUUCGACGCAACGCGAAAGAACCUUACCAAGUCUUGACAUCCUGCGGCGCACAUAGAAAUAUGUGUUUCCUUCGGGACGCAGAGACAGGUGGUGCAUGGUUGUCGUCAGCUCGUGUCGUGAGAUGUUGGGUUAAGUCCCGCAACGAGCGCAACCCUUAUGGUCAGUUACUACGCAAGAGGACUCUGGCCAGACUGCCGUUGACAAAACGGAGGAAGGUGGGGAUGACGUCAAAUCAUCAUGCCCUUUAUGACUUGGGCUACACACGUACUACAAUGGCGUUAAACAAAGAGAAGCAAGACCGCGAGGUGGAGCAAAACUCAGAAACAACGUCCCAGUUCGGACUGCAGGCUGCAACUCGCCUGCACGAAGUCGGAAUUGUUAGUAAUCGCAGAUCAGCAUGCUGCGGUGAAUACGUUCCCGGGCCUUGCACAAACCGCCCGUCA